GUGCUGCGUGCAGUGCGGGGCGGGCUCCCCUGGAUUCCACUGUGAGUGGCAGAACAACUACACGCACUGCGCCCCCUGCGCCAGCCUUGUCACCUGCCCCGUCUGCCGGGUGAAGUACGUGGAGGACGACCUGCUCAUCCAGUGCAGGCACUGCGACCGGUGGCUCCAUGCUGUGUGCAGCAAUCUCUUCACGGAGGAGGAGGUGGAACAGGCAGCAGACGAGGGCUUCGACUGCAGCUGCUGCCAGCCCUACGUGGUCAAGCCAGUCGUUCCAGUCGCCCCCCCAGAGAUUAUCCCAGUGAAGAUCAAGGAGCCGG